rnacentral:piRNA from 1 species
CUGUCUCUUCACCCUGCUGUCCCCAGGA